UUCUUCAUGGAAACAUCCGCCAAAACUGCUGCAAAUGUCAAUGACAUCUUCUAUGAAAUAGCAAGGAGAUUGCCUAGGGCUCAGCCUGCACAGAAUCCAGCAGGGAUAGUUCUAGCGAACGGACCAGCAGAAGGAGCUCGGGCUGCAUCGUGCUGUACAUAAUUGUUUCAAGAGUUCCAUAUGUCUCAACUGAAUAUUAGGUAUGGCAUCCGGGUCACGUUUUGUCCAACUUGAAAAUGGGAAUAUGUAAUCAAGUAAGACAAUGCAAUAGAAACACCACCCCUAUUUGUAUUUUGUGCAACUUAGCUUUUGGCUUUGCUGGUAGGGGGAAGUUUGUAUAUCUUGGAUCUUGUUUGUAUGUAUCUUCAAAUUGGAUCGUUUUAAUUAGAAAUUAGUGAACCCUUGACAUUAGAUUUACUUCUACGUAAUAUGGCAAAUAUAUAGUCUAUUUGUUUCUA